rnacentral:rRNA from 1 species
GAUGAACGCUGACAGAAUGCUUAACACAUGCAAGUCAACUUGAAUUUGGGUUUUUAACUUAGAUUUGGGUGGCGGACGGGUGAGUAACGCGUAAAGAACUUGCCUCACAGCUAGGGACAACAUUUAGAAAUGAAUGCUAAUACCUGAUAUUAUGGUUAUAGGGCAUCCUAUAAUUAUGAAAGCUAUAUGCACUGUGAGAGAGCUUUGCGUCCCAUUAGCUAGUUGGAGAGGUAACAGCUCACCAAGGCGAUGAUGGGUAGCCGGCCUGAGAGGGUGAACGGCCACAAGGGGACUGAGACACGGCCCUUACUCCUACGGGAGGCAGCAGUGGGGAAUAUUGGACAAUGGACCGAGAGUCUGAUCCAGCAAUUCUGUGUGCACGAUGAAGUUUUUCGGAAUGUAAAGUGCUUUCAGUUGGGAAGAAAAAAAUGACGGUACCAACAGAAGAAGUGACGGCUAAAUACGUGCCAGCAGCCGCGGUAAUACGUAUGUCACGAGCGUUAUCCGGAUUUAUUGGGCGUAAAGCGCGUCUAGGUGGUUAUGUAAGUCUGAUGUGAAAAUGCAGGGCUCAACUCUGUAUUGCGUUGGAGACUGUAUAACUAGAGUACUGGAGAGGUAAGCGGAACUACAAGUGUAGAGGUGAAAUUCGUAGAUAUUUGUAGGAAUGCCGAUGGGGAAGCCAGCUUACUGGACAGAUACUGACGCUAAAGCGCGAAAGCGUGGGUAGCAAACAGG